GACGAACGCUGGCGGCGUGCUUAACACAUGCAAGUCGAACGGAAAGGCCCUGCUUUUGUGGGGUGCUCGAGUGGCGAACGGGUGAGUAACACGUGAGUAACCUGCCCUUGACUUUGGGAUAACUUCAGGAAACUGGGGCUAAUACCGGAUAGGAGCUCCUGCUGCAUGGUGGGGGUUGGAAAGUUUCGGCGGUUGGGGAUGGACUCGCGGCUUAUCAGCUUGUUGGUGGGGUAGUGGCUUACCAAGGCUUUGACGGGUAGCCGGCCUGAGAGGGUGACCGGCCACAUUGGGACUGAGAUACGGCCCAGACUCCUACGGGAGGCAGCAGUGGGGAAUACUGCACAAUGGGCGGAAGCCUGAUGCAGCAACGCCGCGUGCGGGAUGACGGCCUUCGGGUUGUAAACCGCUUUCGCCUGUGACGAAGCGUGAGUGACGGUAAUGGGUAAAGAAGCACCGGCUAACUACGUGCCAUCAGCCGCGGUGAUACGUAGGGUGCGAGCGUUGUCCGGAUUUAUUGGGCGUAAAGGGCUCGUAGGUGGUUGAUCGCGUCGGAAGUGUAAUCUUGGGGCUUAACCCUGAGCGUGCUUUCGAUACGGGUUGACUUGAGGAAGGUAGGGGAGAAUGGAAUUCCUGGUGGAGCGGUGGAAUGCGCAGAUAUCAGGAGGAACACCAGUGGCGAAGGCGGUUCUCUGGGCCUUUCCUGACGCUGAGGAGCGAAAGCGUGGGGAGCGAACAGGCUUAGAUACCCUGGUAGUCCACGCUGUAAACGGUGGGUACUAGGUGUGGGGUCCAUUCCACGGGUUCCGUGCCGUAGCUAACGCUUUAAGUACCCCGCCUGGGGAGUACGGCCGCAAGGCUAAAACUCAAAGGAAUUGACGGGGCCCCGCACAAGCGGCGGAGCAUGCGGAUUAAUUCGAUGCAACGCGUAGAACCUUACCUGGGUUUGACAUGGAUCGGGAGUGCUCAGAGAUGGGUGUGCCUCUUUUGGGGUCGGUUCACAGGUGGUGCAUGCCUGUCGUCAGCUCGUGUCGUGAGAUGUUGGGUUAAGUCCCGCAACGAGCGCAACCCUUGUUCACUGUUGCCAGCACGUUAUGGUGGGGACUCAGUGGAGACCGCCGGGGUCAACUCGGAGGAAGGUGGGGAUGACGUCAAGUCAUCAUGCCCCUUAUGUCCAGGGCUUCACGCAUGCUACAAUGGCUGGUACAGAGAGUGGCGAGCCUGUGAGGGUGAGCGAAUCUCGGAAAGCCGGUCUCAGUUCGGAUUGGGGUCUGCAACUCGACCUCAUGAAGUCGGAGUCGCUAGUAAUCGCAGAUCAGCAACGCUGCGGUGAAUACGUUCCCGGG
rnacentral:rRNA from 1 species